rnacentral:rRNA from 1 species
GACGAACGCUGGCGGCGUGCUUAACACAUGCAAGUCGAGCGGUAAGGCCCUUUCGGGGGUACGACGAGCGGCGAACGGGUGAGUAACACGUGGGUGACCUGCCCUCAGCUCUGGGAUAAGCCUGGGAAACUGGGUCUAAUACUGGAUAUGACUCCACGGUGCAUGUCGUGGGGUGGAAAGCCUUGUGCGGCUGAGGAUGGGCCCGCGGCCUAUCAGCUUGUUGGUGGGGGAUGGCCUACCAAGGCGACGACGGGUAGCCGGCCUGAGAGGGCGACCGGCCACACUGGGACUGAGACACGGCCCAGACUCCUACGGGAGGGCAGCAGUGGGGAAUCUUGCGCAAUGCGCGAAAGCGUGACGCAGCAACACCGC